rnacentral:rRNA from 1 species
GACGAACGCUGGCGGCGUGCCUAAUACAUGCAAGUAGGACGCAGUUGCGAACGGGUGAGUAACGCGUAGGUAACUACCUAUUACAGGGGGAUAACUAUUGGAAACGCUAGCUAAUACCGCAUACUAGUAGAUGGACCUGCGUUGUAUUAGCUAGUAGGUAGGGUAAUGGCCUACCUAGGCAACGAUACAUAGCCGACCUGGGAGGGGGAUCGGCCACACUGGGACUGGGACAAGGCCCAGAAUCCUACGGGAGGGAGCAGUAAGGAAUCUUCGGCAAUGGGGGGAAAGCUGACCAGGCAACGCCGCGUGAGUGAAGAAGGUUUUCGGGACGUAAAGCUCUGUUGUUAAGGAAGCGGUACUUAACCAGAAAGGGACGGCUAACUACGUGCCAGCCGCCGCGGUAAUAC